GUGUGUGUGUAUAUAUAUAUAUAUAUAUAUAUAUAGGGGGGUGGGGGGUAGGUUCGGCGUGACAGUGCCCCUUAGGAUUACAUGUAGCUGUUUUUAGGGAUUAAAAUGCUAUUGUGUUGCAAAGAUCCCAAGCAGAAGUCUUUCAGCAAAACCAUUAAUAUUUAUUUUUUCACAAGAAACAAUAUAUGCAUUAUACUAUUUGACAAAUGGGGGCUCAAAAUGUAGUGAAUUGCUG